AUUGAACGCUGGCGGAAUGCUUUACACAUGCAAGUCGAACGGCAGCACGGACUUCGGUCUGGUGGCGAGUGGCGAACGGGUGAGUAAUGUAUCGGAACGUGCCCAGUCGUGGGGGAUAACGUAGUGAAAAUUACGCUAAUACCGCAUACGAUCUAUGGAUGAAAGCGGGGAUCGCAAGACCUCGCGCGAUUGGAGCGGCCGAUAUCAGAUUAGGUAGUUGGUGGGGUAAAGGCCCACCAAGCCAACGAUCUGUAGCUGGUCUGAGAGGACGACCAGCCACACUGGAACUGAGACACGGUCCAGACUCCUACGGGAGGCAGCAGUGGGGAAUUUUGGACAAUGGGCGAAAGCCUGAUCCAGCCAUUCCGCGUGCAGGAUGAAGGCCCUCGGGUUGUAAACUGCUUUUGUACAGAACGAAAAGGUUUCUACUAAUACUAGGAGCUCAUGACGGUACUGUAAGAAUAAGCACCGGCUAAUUACGUGCCAGCCGCCGCGGUAA
rnacentral:rRNA from 1 species